rnacentral:rRNA from 1 species
UACGUAGGGAGCAAGCGUUGUCCGGAAUUAUUGGGCGUAAAGCGCGCGUAGGUGGCUUCGUAAGUCCGUUGUGAAAGUCAAAGGCUCAACCUUUGAAAGCCGAUGGAUACUGCGGAGCUAGAGUACGGAAGAGGCGAGUGGAAUUCCUGGUGUAGCGGUGGAAUGCGCAGAUAUCAGGAGGAACACCAAUAGCGAAGGCAGCUCGCUGGGACGUUACUGACACUGAGGCGCGAAAGCGUGGGGAGCGAACAGG